rnacentral:tRNA from 1 species
GAAGUAUUUAAAAUAAAUGCCCAUUGACUCUUAAUCAAUGGGUCGAGGGUUCGAGUCCCUCCGGGGUCA